rnacentral:lncRNA from 1 species
AACUAAAUAACACAAGAUAUCACAAGAAUCAUCAUCACUAGGUUCCUUAUGAAAUUCGGCCAUGGUGGGUGCAUAAACACUAUGGUUUUUCAUACUUGAUUUUUUUCACUUUAAAUCAUUAGUUCCUAACCAAAUCACUUGAAAUAAAAUCAAAUCCACCAUCAACAUAACAUAAGGAAAAUUCAGCCAAUGAGAGUGAUGGAAGAACAUGAAUUUUUCUUGUUUGCUUUUCAUGCUUGAUUUUUACACUUUACAUCAUAAAACAACUAAAAAUACCUAAAUAGCAUGCAAUUCAUCAAAGUCCAUUUUCCAAUUUCUCUCUUGAAAAAUUCAGCCAAUGGGUAUGGGUGAAGGGCAUGAAAUUUCUUACUUGUUUUCCAUGCUAAACAUCACCAAACAACUAAAAACAUUAGAAUAACAUGAAAUCUUGCUAAAUCCAAGAUCAAAAUCCUUUCCCCCAUGCCCAGCCAGCAAAGGUAUCUUCAUGCAAACUUGAUUCUCAACCAUGGAAAAUGAAAAAGAAUGCAUAGGAAAGGUAGAUCACAAGUUAAAAUCAAGAAAUUUUACCUUUACUUGCUUAAUUCCUUAAAAUCCACCAAUUUUCUCUUGAAUUUUUCUAACUAGGUUUUGUUCUUUUUUUCUUUCCUGUUUUCCUUGGUGAGGCC